UGCGGGGUGGAGCAGCUCGGUAGCUCGUCGGGCUCAUAACCCGAAGGUCAUCGGUUCAAAUCCGGUCCCCGCUACCA
rnacentral:tRNA from 2 species